UUGUGGCCAUAUCGCACCGAAACACCGGUUCUGGUACGAUCACCAAAGUAAAGCAACAUCGUGCCUCGUCAGUACUUAGAUGGGUGACCGUUUUGGAAUACCAGUUGCUGAAAG